rnacentral:rRNA from 1 species
UACGGAGGGUGCGAGCGUUAAUCGGAAUUACUGGGCGUAAAGCGCACGUAGGCGGCUUGUUCAGUCAGCUGUGAAAGCCCUGGGCUCAACCUGGGAAUGGCAGGUGAUACGGGCAGGCUGGAGUGCAGACGAGGACCGUGGAAUUCCCGGUGUAGCGGUGAAAUGCGUAGAGAUCGGGAGGAACACCGAUGGCGAAGGCAGCGGUCUGGGGUGACACUGACGCUGAGGUGCGACGGCGUGGGGAGCAAACAGG